rnacentral:lncRNA from 1 species
UUUUUUUUUACUGACGAUUGACAGGGUUUAGUGGGGUAUUUUUCUUUUCUUGUAAAAACUAUAAUAUCUAGCACUUGCCUUACUGAUACGGAUUGUAUGCUGAAAAGCUUUCCCAGAAUUUGGUUUUUACAAAAGUUGGUGACAUAUUCUAAAAUAUGCAAAGCCUUUACUAGAUAAUUUACUUUUGAUAGUGGCCUCAAUUAUUUACUGGCAAUCUGUCUUCAAAAGGUCCACUAGUACAAAAGCAGCAAACUCUUUUAGCUACUCUUUGAGAUUUCUUUCUUGAUGCUAAGGAAGACUCUCACCCUCCCAUUGACCGAGGAAAGAGUAUUUCGUCUCUAUUUACCCUUUCCUCAUGGGCUAUGCAAAAAAAUGUGAAGCCUCAUCUCUUCCCACGUGGCAGUUUUAACUACUGUUCCUGCCUCUCUGUCUCUGUAUCAGCCAACCGGGCUACAUACAGCUACUUUCCAUCCCUUUCUGCAUCACUCCUUAACCUUCAUAUCCCUGUGCUCUUCGACCCAUGUCUGCUUAGAUGGUGUGGGUAGGUGGCUCUUGGGAGCCUCUUCACAAGCAGUGAGAAAGCUACAAUGUUGGACAGUCCACCCUGCCAUAUGCAGGAAGAUGGUUUUGUCUGUAUCCUUGUUAAUUAGUGGUGCCUCUGACAGAUCAGUUACAGUUUUCUUGUGUUACACAAUGACUUAGCCAUUCAAUGCUAACUAAACUUUUCAGGUUUUAAAGUCUCAGUUCUGCUGUGGAACUCUUGCCCCUGGGCCCUGCAGUAUUUUUUGUUUGUAAAAAGAAGCUAAUUUUUGCAACACCAGUAUAAGGAGCCAAAAUUUUUUUGCUAGAUAAGUUGUUCCCUUGAACUGUAGCUAACUGUAGCUAAACUGGUUUCUUAAGAACCUUUUUUCUUAUAAAUUACUUAAAAAACUUAUCAAAGAAGCAGCUGCUGGCAAUGAUGUUGUCUCAACUCCCACAGGGAAGGAUUUCUUCUGUGAGGACAAGAAACUUAGGUAAAUUUAUGGUUAGGGUUACACAAAAUGGUUGCCUGUGACAGCACAGCAUUGAACUCACUGGACUUUCAUCAGCAAAGGCCAGGGAAAUUGUCAGCUUUGACAAUAGCAUCAAUUAGAAGUGGCGGCAUGCAGUUUUGUCGAUCCUGAGUUUCCACACUGGCUGAGCUCACCCAUGAAGCACAAACAGCUGGUGGACAACUUUUGACUUCUUUAGGAAGGGAUGUGCAUGGCGAUUUUGUAAUGGUCACACAUGGAUGUUGUAUUCAUUCUUCAUACUUGGAAGUGGCACAGACUACUUUGAAUGAAAGAAAUAAAAACCAACACACGUGCUCAAUCAGAAAACCCUGCCUAAACAGAACAAGGGAAAACUGGGACAAACCAUAAAUCAUCGCACUGGAGGAAAGUGUUCAAAAAAUGUGUAGAUGAGGCCCUCAGUGAUAUGCUUUAGUGGUGGUCUUGGCAGUCCUGGGGUAAUGGUUGGACUUGAUGAUCUUAAAGGUCUUUUCCAACCUAGUUGAUUCUAUGGUUCUAUUGUUCUAUGGAAAGAGCACCAAACCUCAGAGUGCUUUCAAAAGCAACCAAAAUUUCCCAAAUCCACAUUAACACCAUAAGCAACUCAUAGCUGAGACAAGCAACCUGCCUCAAGCAAUAGUGACUGGAAAACAUGAAAAGAGCAAUGAAGUUUUACAGCGUCAUCAAAAUAGGAAUUCCUGUGGUUUAAUGAAUAAAAAGGCACUGGUGGCUGAGGUAACUGCCAGUGCAACUACAUUUAAAUCUUUUUGGACUAUGAGUUGAUACACUUUUGGAUGGGUUUUCAAAAGUUUCCUAAUUUGGACUGACAUUUCUUGCACCUCCACAAGCAUUUACAUGACUAAUAACUUGGCCGAAGCGACGAGUUUUCUGCCUGUGAGUCAUAAAAUGAACAUAGUUGAAAAGGGAAGAUAAACAGCCAAAUUGAGACAACUUUGGAAACAUAAGCUUCUCUCACCAAAUAGAAAUAAAAUCAUGAAUUGUGUACGUCAUGUUCAGUAAUAAUAAUAAAAAACCCAACCAAACCAACAAAACUACGUGCAUUUGUUUACACUGGCUUCAUCUGUGAUUAUCCAGUUUAGUAUAACCCAACUACUACUACCACAGCCUGCUUUCUUUUUCCAGGUUGUCUUUAGGCUUCUAGCAAAGCUUACAAAAGCACUGAAGUAGCUUAGGAGCUCAGGACCAAUUUUUAACAAUUAAGGUCAUGUCCAAAUUGCAGGUUGAACUUGAGACAUGGUAGCCUGGAAACCAAAAACAAGCUGACAGCGUGAAGCUCUGGGUCGGUUAAUUUGUAUUGCUAUGAGAGAGGCAGAUUGGGGC